AUCUCUGCAGCGCAAUGGAUAGCGCGUUGGACUUCUAAUCCAAAGGUCGUGGUUUCGAUUUCCAUCUGGGACU